CAAAAUCUCUCAGUAGGAUCAAAUGCAAACACUGUCAAGUUAGGCAACUAAUGUGCUUACAUUUAUCUUUUGCAACUUUACAAAAAAAAAAAAAAAAACAAAAACAAAAACAAAAGGCUAUUUAUUUUGGUAGGCGUACUGAUAUGCUCUAAACUGUUUUUUUUUUUUUUAAGUGAUAGGAUUUAAAACAGGUGUUUUCAAGUUGGUGAAUAUGACAACAAAAUUUGAUUGAGCCCUGCAGUAUAAGCCAUUUAAAUCUGAGUUCCUUGUUAAAGUUCAUCAUUCAUCUUUCUCCUAUUCAACUUCCCACACCAUCUCAGAGCACAUUUUCUUUUUCUUUAUUGUUGGGAAAAGGCGGAAAGGAGCAAUAAGGAAGACUAUGAUUUGUCCAAAUUCUGGGAUAUUUCUAUGCAAGAUUCUGAAAGAUCAAUGCUCAAAACUCGCUGGCAACUAUUGGCCCCUCAUCCAAGAGAUCCCUCCCUUCUACAUUGAUGGUGUUCAAAUCCAAUGAAUUGAAAUUGAUCACACCCAAGCCAUGAAAAAUGAUUUAUCUCCAUUGACUACUUUUCCUUCUUCAGGUAAUUCUUAUAACUUCUUCCAUUCGUUUGCUUCCAUUUGCUAUCUGCCACAAUUCGUUGUUCCACCUAAAGUCAGCUUUCUGGGGUUGGGGUCAAUAUUUUGGGUUUGAAGGUAUCAAUUUCUAUUAUGUUCUUCAGUUUGAUGCUUAAUGCAGAUUGAUUUUUUCCCUGUUUCAUUUCUGGCCAUAAUCCCAAUGACAGCAUGUUUAGUUCCUCCAACGUAAGAGCCAUCACAGUUAAUCUUCACAAAACCUAGCUCAGGUUUACUCUACACACCUUGCCUUUCGUCCACCCAAUCAUGACCCAGCUCUCCUACAUUUUUACAAGAAACGCAGUUUGAAAGUGCUUUUUUAAUCUGUAGGAGUGACAGUUUCAGGAUCAAGUGAUUUAUGGUCGAAGAUUACUGCAUUUCUAGCAU
rnacentral:lncRNA from 1 species